GUCGAACGCUGGCGGCGUGCCUAAUACAUGCAAGUCGAACGCAGUGGGGACGGGUGAGUAACACGUGGGUAACCUCCCAUCAGAGGGGAUAACACUUGGAAACAGGUGCUAAACCGAUACUGAUGGAUGGACCCGCGGUGCCUUAGCUAGUUGGUGAGGAAACGGCGCACCAAGGCCACGAUGCCUAGCCGACCUGAGAGGGUGAUCGGCCACACUGGGACUGAGACACGGUCCAGAAUCCUACGGGAGGCAGCAGUAUGGAAUCUUGGGCAAUGGACGAAAGUCUGACCGAGCAACGCCGCGUGAGUGAAGAAGGUUUUCGGAUCGUAAAACACUGUUGUUAGAGAAGCGGUAUCUAAACAGAAAGCCACGGCUAACUACGUGCCAGCAGCCGCGGUAAUAC
rnacentral:rRNA from 1 species